GUGGGGAAUCUUCCGCAAUGGACGAAAGUCUGACGGAGCAACGCCGCGUGAGUGAUGAAGGUCUUCGGAUUGUAAAGCUCUGUUAAUCGGGACGAAAGAGCCUAGUGUGAAUAAUGCUAGGAAGUGACGGUACCGGAAUAGAAAGCCACGGCUAACUACGUGCCAGCAGCCGCGGUAAUACGUAUGUGGCAAGCGUUGUCCGGAAUUAUUGGGCGUAAAGCGCGCGCAGGCGGAUCUGCCAGUCUGUCUUAAAAGUUCGGGGCUUAACCCCGUGAUGGGAUGGAAACUACAGAUCUAGAGUAUCGGAGAGGAAAGUGGAAUUCCUAGUGUAGCGGUGAAAUGCGUAGAUAUUAGGAAGAACACCAGUGGCGAAGGCGACUUUCUGGACGAAAACUGACGCUGAGGCGCGAAAGCCAGGGGAGCGAACGGGAUUAGAUACCCUUGUAGUCC
rnacentral:rRNA from 1 species